AUAAAAUCGUAAUAUUUAUAUAGCAGGAAAAGGGAUGAAAAGUUACGUUUUUGUCGAUUUUUGUUAGUCACAGCUUACAAUAUUGAUUUAAAACAGACACGCAGGUUCAAAUUAUGAAAUGGAAUUUACGAUGUGUUUUAUUUUUAAAUUAUUUGUAUUUUCAGAAAUACUCGUUAUGUCCUUUCAAGAUAUUCCAGAAGAAUAUCGACGUGGACGUGGCAUAAUAGUCAUGACAGAAAGUUCAAGUGGAUCUCAAAACGGCACAAAGAGAUGGAUGAUAUUCUUCGCCUUACUUUCAGUUUUGUUGAUACUUUCGGAAAUUCUAUAUAUUUACAAGACCUAUUGUCUGAGACAAAGUUACGGCACAAAGGACUUUAUAUGAAGUUUACAUAAAUAGUAUAUGACUGCAAGACGAUAUGCCUAAAACAGAGAACAUAAUUCUUACAUUCUUACUUAUUUCGUACACUUUUUUAUUGUUGACGCACAUGUGGAGUGACGUUACUUCAUUACUUAAUUUAUCUGUCAAA